rnacentral:rRNA from 1 species
AUUGAACGCUGGCGGCAUGCCUUACACAUGCAAGUCGAACGGUAACGCGCUUUCGGGUUCCGACGAGUGGCGAACGGUUGAGUAAUACAUCGGAACGUGCCCGAUCCUGGUGUUUAACGAGGCGAAACCUUUGCUAAUACCGCAUACGAUCUCCUGCUGCCUGCGGGGGACCGCAAGGCCUCUCGCGGACGGGCCCGCCGAUGUCAGAUUAGGUAGUUGGUGGGAUAAAAGCUUACCAAGCCGACGAUCUGUAGCUGGUCUGAGAGGAUGAUCAGCCACACUGGAACUGAGACACGGCCCAGACUCCUACGGGAGGCAGCAGUGGGGAAUAUUGGACAAUGGGCGCAAGCCUGAUCCAGCCAUGCCGCGUGCAGGAUGAAGGCCUUCGGGUUGUAAACUGCUUUUGUACGGAAAGAAAAGCAGUCGUUUAAUACAGGAGGGUCAUGACGGUACCGUAAGAAUAAGCACCGGCUAACUACGUG